UGGAGCAGCUCCGCAAUGAAAGGAGGCGCUGGGGGGGAGCGGAGGGGCCAGAGCCACGGGGAGAGGCUGCGGGCCGGGCCCCGCUCCCGCCGGGAUGCGGAGGGGUCAGCGCCGGGGGGCGCGGCCGGCGGGGCGAACACCCGGGCCUUCAGCGAAUUGAGGAGGCCGGUAGAGGACUGUGGAGAAGGAAAGUUUAUAACCAGCAGCGCCAGGAUGGACUUCCCUGCUACCCAACCAAAACCUGCUGCCGACGGUAAAAUCAUCUACUAUCCUCCUGGAGUGAAGGAGAUUACGGACAAAAUUACCAACGAUGAGGUGGUUAAACGGUUAAAGAUGGUGGUAAAAACAUUCAUGGAUAUGGACCAGGACUCAGAAGAUGAGAAGCAGCAGUAUCUCCCACUAGCCUUGCACCUUGCAUCUGAAUUCUUCCUCAGGAAUCCCAAUAAAGAUGUGCGCCUCCUUGUAGCAUGUUGCUUGGCUGAUAUCUUUCGUAUCUAUGCUCCUGAAGCUCCAUAUACUUCCCAUGACAAACUUAAGGACAUAUUCUUGUUUAUUACAAGACAAUUGAAAGGCUUGGAGGACACGAAGAGCCCUCAAUUUAACAGAUACUUUUACUUGUUAGAGAAUUUAGCUUGGGUUAAAUCUUACAACAUCUGCUUUGAGUUGGAAGAUUGCAAUGAAAUUUUUAUUCAGCUUUUUAGGACUCUUUUUUCAGUUAUCAAUAAUAGCCACAACCAGAAGGUACAAAUGCAUAUGCUGGAUUUGAUGAGUUCUAUCAUCAUGGAAGGCGAUGGAGUAACUCAGGAGCUGCUGGACUCGAUUUUGAUUAACCUCAUUCCUGCACACAAGAACCUUAAUAAACAAGCAUUUGAUCUUGCAAAAGUCCUGUUGAAAAGGACCGUCCAGACCAUUGAACCUUGUAUUGCCAAUUUUUUUAAUCAGGUUCUGGUACUGGGGAAGUCUUCAGUAAGUGACUUAUCAGAACAUGUGUUUGACUUGAUACAAGAACUUUUUGCCAUAGAUCCUCACUUACUGCUGUCUGUCAUGCCACAGCUUGAAUUCAAGCUGAAGAGCAAUGAUGGAGAAGAGCGUUUGGCUGUUGUUCGACUCUUGGCUAAACUCUUUGGCUCCAAAGAUUCUGAUCUGGCCACGCAAAAUCGACCUCUUUGGCAGUGCUUUCUUGGGCGGUUCAAUGAUAUCCAUGUCCCUGUGAGAUUAGAGAGUGUGAAAUUCGCCAGUCAUUGUUUAAUGAACCAUCCAGACUUAGCAAAAGACCUCACUGAAUAUUUGAAGGUUAGAUCACAUGACCCAGAAGAAGCCAUUCGACAUGAUGUUAUUGUUACAAUUAUUACUGCAGGCAAGAGAGAUCUUUCUUUAGUCAAUGACCAGCUCCUUGGCUUUGUAAGGGAAAGAACGCUAGACAAACGGUGGCGAGUAAGAAAAGAAGCUAUGAUGGGUCUUGCCCAGCUAUACAAGAAGUAUUGUCUUCAUGCCGAGGCUGGAAAAGAUGCUGCAGAGAAAGUGAGCUGGAUAAAGGAUAAACUUUUGCACAUAUAUUAUCAAAAUAGCAUUGAUGACAAAUUACUGGUAGAGAAAAUCUUUGCUCAGUAUCUUGUUCCACACAAUUUGGAAACAGAAGAGCGAAUGAAGUGCUUGUACUAUUUGUAUGCUAGCUUGGAUCCAAAUGCUGUCAAAGCACUGAAUGAGAUGUGGAAGUGCCAGAACAUGCUAAGGAGUCACGUACGAGAACUGCUAGACUUGCAUAAGCAGCCCACUUCAGAAGCAAACAGUGCUGCCAUGUUUGGAAAGCUGAUGACCAUAGCAAAAAACCUUCCAGAUCCUGGAAAAGCACAAGAUUUUGUGAAGAAAUUCAAUCAGGUUUUGGGUGAUGAUGAGAAACUUCGGUCCCAGCUUGAACUGUUAAUAAGCCCUACAUGUUCUUGCAAACAGGCAGAUGUCUGUGUGAGAGAGAUAGCCCGGAAACUUGCAAAUCCUAAGCAGCCAACAAAUCCUUUUCUGGAAAUGGUCAAAUUUCUUUUGGAAAGAAUUGCCCCUGUACAUAUUGACUCAGAAGCCAUUAGUGCACUAGUAAAACUAAUGAAUAAAUCCAUAGAGGGGACAGCUGAUGAUGAAGAGGAGGGUGUAAGUCCUGAUACUGCUAUCCGUGCAGGACUUGAACUUCUCAAGGUUCUGUCCUUUACACAUCCUACCUCGUUCCACUCUGCAGAGACCUAUGAAUCUCUGCUACAGUGCCUCAGGAUGGAAGAUGAUAAGGUAGCUGAGGCAGCCAUACAGAUUUUCAGAAACACGGGUCACAAAAUAGAAACAGACUUGCCACAGAUAAGAUCAACACUAAUUCCGAUUUUGCAUCAGAAAGCAAAAAGGGGCACUCCCCAUCAGGCAAAACAAGCUGUUCACUGUAUACAUGCCAUAUUUUCAAAUAAAGAAGUGCAGCUUGCACAGAUCUUUGAGCCUCUUAGUAGAAGUUUGAAUGCUGAUGUACCAGAACAACUUAUAACUCCCUUGGUCUCUUUGGGUCAUAUUUCUAUGUUGGCUCCAGACCAGUUUGCUUCUCCAAUGAAAUCCGUUGUUGCAAAUUUCAUUGUGAAAGAUCUCCUAAUGAAUGACAGGUCAACAGGUGAGAAAAAUGGAAAAUUGUGGUCUCCAGAUGAAGAAGUCUCUCCAGAAGUACUAGCAAAGGUGCAAGCAAUUAAACUUUUGGUACGCUGGUUGUUGGGUAUGAAAAACAACCAGUCGAAAUCCGCAAAUUCCACACUCCGGUUAUUGUCAGCUAUGCUCGUCAGCGAAGGAGACUUGACAGAACAGAAGCGAAUCAGUAAAUCGGAUAUGUCUCGACUACGAUUAGCUGCUGGUAGUGCAAUAAUGAAACUUGCACAGGAACCCUGUUACCAUGAAAUAAUUACCCCAGAACAGUUCCAGCUCUGUGCACUUGUCAUUAAUGAUGAGUGCUACCAAGUGAGGCAGAUAUUUGCCCAGAAAUUGCAUAAGGCACUUGUGAAAUUACUGCUCCCUUUGGAAUAUAUGGCAAUCUUUGCUUUGUGUGCCAAAGACCCUGUGAAGGAGAGAAGAGCACAUGCCAGGCAGUGCUUGCUCAAAAACAUCAGUAUACGAAGAGAGUAUAUUAAGCAGAAUCCUAUGGCUAAUGAAAAAUUACUGUCCUUGCUGCCUGAAUAUGUGGUACCAUAUAUGAUUCACUUACUGGCACAUGAUCCAGAUUUCACAAAACCUCAGGAUGUUGAUCAGCUUCGUGAUGUCAAAGAGUGCCUGUGGUUCAUGCUUGAAGUUUUAAUGACAAAGAAUGAAAACAAUAGCCAUGCCUUCAUGAAAAAGAUGUCAGAAAACAUCAAGCUUACCCGAGAUGCUCAGUCUCCUGAUGAGCCAAAGGCCAAUGAAAAACUUUACACAGUAUGUGAUGUAGCACUAUGUGUAAUCAACAGCAAAAGUGCUUUGUGCAAUGCAGAUUCACCGAAGGACCCUGUAUUGCCAACCAAAUUUUUUACACAACCUGAAAAGGAUUUCUGCAAUGACAGGAAUUACAUUUCAGAAGAGACAAGGGUUCUUCUUUUGACAGGAAAGCCAAAACCAACUGGUGUAUUAGGUACAGUAAACAAACCAUUAUCUGCAACUGGAAGAAGACCAUAUAUUAGAACUACAGGAUCAGAGACUGGAAGCAGUGUAAACUCUGAGCUGAGUGCUUCUGCAGGAAACAGGUCAAGGGAACAAAGUUCAGAUAUAUCAGAAACCGGGGUCAGUGAAAAUGAUGAAAAUCCUGUCAGGAUUAUUUCAGUCACACCAGCAAAGACAGAACCUGUGAAAAACAAGGAGAUUAAUUCUGAUCAGGCUACACAAGGAAACAGCACUGAACGUGGGAAAAAAAGAACAGCAACAGCAUCUGGAACUGAGAAUAUUCAUCAAAAAACAGAAGAAAAAAGUGUAGAUGAAACAGGCCCAUCGCUAGCAGCAAAAACCAGAAGAGGGCGACCAACCAAACCGGAACCUCAGGGUACCACUGCAAAAAACGAGGAAACAAACAAACCACCUGUCAGGGGAAGGAAGAGAGCAGCAGCCAAUCAAGAAAGUCCAGGGAGUUUAGAGGCAGGUAAUGCCAAAGCACCAAAACAGCAAGACACAGCGAAAAAGCCAGCGGCAGCACAGAGACAAAUUGAUCUACAGAGAAGCCAGGUGCUUGGAAGUGAUGGAGAUUCACUGUUGGAGAUAGACUCAAGUCCAGAAUACUCCCAAAAUGCAAUGGAUCUUUUUAAGGCCUGUGGGAGCAGCCAGGAAGAUACUGAGGAUACAGAGAUAGCAGAGGGAGGCUUCCUUAAGAAAACAAAUUGCUAUAUCUGUGCAUAGACUUGGACAGUCAUAGAAAUACUGUACGGAGCAAAGAAGUUGUAAUGCAGACAGUUACGUAGCUUAAGAGACAAGUUUUUUAGGUGGCCAGUUCCACAGCUCCCAUCAGAGAUUCCUUAGCACCGAGUCAGUGUGCUGACCCGCAGGAUGACUACUUUCACAAAUCUGACUCCCUGGUAUACUUCAAAUUCAGAGUAGGAACAUCCCUCACUCCAGGGAAGUUCGCAGCCUUAUUUUUUUGCAGUCUAAAAGGAGAUGAGCAAGUUUUUGGCAUGUGCACCUGCUUGUAAAGAAAUGAGUGGGACCACAGGCAAAAGCUUGUUGCAGUUCAGACAACCUCCUGCUUGCCUGGGCUGCAAGAGCCAAAGGCACAGCCAUGUGUCCACCAGUAGUUGGUAGGAGCAGCAUCACACCUGAACUCAGACAGCAUCACAUGCCAAAAGGUGCUGUGAGCAUGUUCUUUGCUGCCUUGGUAUCAUAUCAGGCAGUGUGCAGUCAUCAUAGCACUGCCCUGGAAAAAGUCUUGUUAACCUGAUGGAAACACCUUUCUGACCCACAACAGGGCAUCUUCUCCCUGCCUAGUGAAAGUCAUGACAAACUUAUCAGGGGGAUGUCAGAGAGCAGUGGCAGGUGUUACAAGCCAACAGGAGGAAGUCAGGCUCACAGUGACCCCUUCAGCUUUGGCAAGAAAUGAUUCUAAGAAGCCGUUCAACUCUGAACCUGGAAGAUUCCUCAACUGCGCAGCUACAUCCAUGGUCAGCAGAGCAGAAACAUCCACAAGCAACACAAAUGGACAGCCAACAGGAGAGACAUGUCUGUUUUUCAGUGGGAGCACAGAGGUUAUCCAAGCUAAUUUUUAACUUGCUGAAGUUGUGCUGGCAGCAGUGCAGUCUCAGCAGUGUGCCAGCUCAGGCAAGAAGCAUGACCAAAUCGCUUUGGUACAUUGAGCGUCCUCCUGCCACCCUGCCAGCCACGAGAGCUCAGAUGUGUGUGCAUAUCGCUGCAAGACAGGUGUGUUCCAGAACAAGAAAUACAUGUUUUGCUCCUUAAAUUCAGGCAUUUAAUUCUUCUUUCAUUGCCCUGGAAACAGAAAGUGAUGUGUUGGCUAUGAUGCACCAAAGCUUCUGAAGAAAGAGAUGGUGGGUGAUCAUGGCUGAGUUUCUCUUGGGUCCGAUGGCUGUAAAGCAGGUGGGGAGUCACUGUGUGCUUAGAAACUUCAUAGGCAAUCAUCUGAUUUCUUACCUUGGCAUGGCACAGUUGCAAUAGCCAGCAUCUGGCUGGGCAGCGGGCACGUGGUCCUGCACCCUACCCCAGGGAAAGCUGGGACACGCAGAAUAUUUUGCUCUGUGGUAUGAGUGAAAACUGAGAAUACCAUUUACUUUGGCAUAUAUUCAGGUGCCUCUGUAUGAUUCAUCUCAGUACUGCCCCCAAACCAGAAACAAGCCAGGUUUGUGCUGGUGGCCGAGGUCUGAGCCAUCAGUUAUGUGCUGUCUCCAGAGUGCAUGCAGGGUGCCCUGUGCUCCCUGCUGCCCACAGAUAAGGUCUUCUCCACUUCCUGUGAAACUAGCAGAGGCUAUCACUACUCAAGUAAUUCAGGACAUCACCUCCUUCAAUCCCUGAGUGUUCCCAGGAAAGGAGAGAGCAAUUUGUAGUCUGGAUAAAUUAUUCUGGAUGGUGGUAGCAGCAACCAUUGUUUAUCUUUCCAUGUACUGUUACACCAGGACAGGAUUCAGGCUGGGACAUGGACAAGGAAGCUGCUAUGCACAGUCUUGGUGUGUGUGUGACCACAAUGGCUCUGUACCUUUCCUCAGUGCCUUUUCUGAUCCCCUUUUCUCAAUCUUCCAACUGCAGUACAUUGCUUCCCAGCUGUUCUUCCAGACUCCCUUUGCUGUAUCCAACCGUGCCUGCACGUUGAUCUUCUGCAUUACCUUCUCAUUUCCAUCUACACGAGCUUAGCUUUGAGCAUAAAAGGAUUUGGGGAGAAAGCAGACUCCAUGCCAUGAUUCAUUUCUGAUACUUGUGGGGGGCCUGCACUUCACAGUUUAUCAGGCUCUGCUUUAGUAACAGGCUUUUCAACUCUGCUUUUCCCACAAAGACCCGACGUUCAGAGCAGGUAUCCUCCCUGGGUCAGCACUGGUUGCUGCUGUUACACCCUUUGUCAGGUGGGGUGUUUCUCACAGUGCACCUGCCAUGCAGGUUCUCUAACUUGUGUGUUACUGUGCUGUCACCCAGUCUGUGAGCCACACUGUCACCUCAGGAACUGCCUCAGAGUCUGUCAACAUGCACUGAAUAGCCAAAUCUCCAGAUGCUUGAGGAAAGUUUUUCUGGUCGUCUGGACUAUAACAAGCUAUCACAGGAUGUCCAGCAACCCCCCACCCAGAAGGAGGGUGUAUUUUCAAUCCUUUCUGGUUUACACAGUGUAUGAAUCACCAAACCCUCAUACACUGUACAUAGAAGCUCACAGUGGCAUUUACAGUCCUGUUGUGUUGACCAUGAGGUAGACACGGUCAUCUCUGUGGCUUUCCAAGUUUCAAAGCCAUUUCCCUGGUGAGAUUUUAGAGUAUCAGAGUAUUUCCAGGCCAAACUUACUCCCAACCACUUAAUACCAACCUGAGAUCAUGUCCCUUGUACAUGACCUGGUCACAGCUAAAAUGCCAGUUGCUGCAUCCACCCCCUUAACUCAUCCUCCCCAGGCUGUCUGUAAACUACUGCUCCCUGAGGCUUUUUUUGUGCCUGUGGAAAGGGGGACCACCAGUGCUGUGGCACCACUGCAUCUUCUACACAGUUUCUCCAAGUAUGUUGUGUCUGACCAGCACAGUGCUUUCCCACAUAACCAUCAGGUAUUAGAUACUGUUUGGCUAUUUGUGAGGGCACUUCCACCCCCAGAGCUACAAGCACAGGUAUAAGGGCCUUCCUAUUAAAUUUAGUAAGACCGACUUGCCGUCUUCUUCAGAUCUCAGGAGCUCAAAUCUAUUUUUUAUUUGGUCACUCUUCAUUGCCUUGAAAUGGUAAUGGGUUCCUCCUCCAAAAGACCACUUACACAAGUGCCCAAGCCCCUUCCCCCUGCCACAUGGGAACCACACCACAUGCCAAGGAUAUUCUUAGUCUUUGCCAGGGAGCAGGGCAGGGUUCCUGCUCUAAGCAUUUCCUUACGUGAAUUGUUUCUUGAGGAUGGUUUUGGAUGCUGCCCAAAGCAGUUGGCCAAGAUGAUACCAGAAUGUAAUUUGAUUCUGCAUCAAUGAGCUGCUUUCUUUCCAAAACAUCGUAACUUAAAGCCAAAAUGUGGGUUGGUUUUUUGUUGGCAUUUGGGUUUUUGUUGGCAUUUGGGUUUUUGUUGGUGAGGGGUUUUUUUUAACCUUUUUGCUAUUGAGAGGGCUUUGUCAUUUCAGGUCUACAGGAUGUGGCCCUUUUGUGUCUAUUUGCUUCUUUUGCAGCGACAAUGAACAGACACAGACCCCUUAGUCCACAGUCGCUUGUGUGGACAGCCAGCUGCCUCCAGCCCAGCCCAUCAGAGCAGGACCUGGCACUCCCACUCCAUGUGCCUGCUUCAGCCUGCUGGUGACACCUGGCUUAAUGCAGCCCAGGACAGUUUGCUGCCUUUUUCAAAAGUAGAGGUUAGUGGCUCAUGUUCAACUUGGUCCAGACCCUGAAUCCCCAGGUUCGUCUCUGCAGAGUUGCUUUCCAGUUGCCCCAGCCUGUACUGGUGCCUGAGAUUGUUCCUCCUCAGGUGCAGGACUCUGCUCUUCCCCUUGAUGACUCCUCACAGAUGAGAACCAUUCUCAGGCGAAAAGAAUGGCACUUGAACAAUACAAAGAACAACUCUUUCCCUCUGUUUUUAAGAAGCUUUUGGGGUUGGUUUGUGUUUUUGUUUUUUCCCCCUCCACCUCAGUAUAGUAACUUCUGGUAACUACUUUGUUCAUACUUCUGCUGCUGAACAGUUCUCUUUCCUGACAAGUAUGGCCUGGAGACAGUUUACCCUAGUAUUUUUGAUGUGGUUCAGACCACUGAAGGACUUCAAUGCGGAAUAAGUUAUAGAGGGCAACAUGUAUGCCAAGCACAAGAGGGAGAACAUCUGUCCCUCUUGCCCCCAUCCCAGCAGGUCAUUCACCUGUAGGAAGUUCAUAUACAGGAUUAAUUUCUUGUUUCCUCUUUAACAGUAAAAGCCAUAAAUAUCAGGUGUUUUCAUUCUAUUUGAACUGACAGUGUUUUAAACCACUUUCUACACAGAUAAAUCACUUCACACACCACAGUUUUUCACAGCAAGGUGAAAAUGUGAUCGCCAGCAUAUCCAGUAACACCUGGGACCUGCUUUGUGUCUGGUGUUUGCUCUUCAGCCUUAUGCUGAGGGAAACAUAAAGCUGUGGCAAUUACAUGAUUUCCAGUGCUCGCUCUUUGUUAUAGCUGACUGCAGUGUGAAAUGGGACCAGCCAGUUCCAGGCCUUUUUUUGAACCAAAAUCCAUACUGGAGCAUAACUGGCUUUUAUCUUUUUGGGCUGUAACCAGUAAAAUGUUCCUGCUCUAAGAAAGCCACCCUCCUACCCAACCUCUGCACCCAGGCAGCAGGUAGGUGUUUAAAAAUGGGGACAGCCAGUUUUGCCCUGAAACAGUAACAUGGCUGAGCUGCAGGGAACUUCCCAAACCUCUUAGGAUCAGCAGGAACUUUGACUACUCACUGUCUAUCACUCUUAAACUGCCAGCUGUGAGAAGAGGAUUUGGGAAAGAUGGAGGAAGGGAAGAGACCAGGGCAGGGAAAGCAAAGCACUGUCCCUUUUCCCACCUGCUGUAGGUGCCCUGCAAGCGAAGGCAGCUGUACAUGGAGGACUUGGGUUGCUAAAGGGUCUGGUGGCUCAGGUAACAUCAGCAUAGAACAGCUUCUAUCCCAACUUUCCCCCCCAGCACGACCACACUCGUAUUUGCCUCACCAUCCCUGCUGAUUACCCUUUAUUUUAUAUGAGGUUGUCACAAACCCACCUAAAGACUUCAUGUAUUUCAACACAAAGCAGCCACUAAGUGAAGCAAUGUAAUUUAUUUGACAUUAUACCAGACACGGGUGCUCCAGAUCCAGACUUGACCUUAAAAACAAUUUAAAAUCCUGGAUUUGCUGUAUUGGAGGUAUCAGUUACCCGCCUGAGAGCCAAAUGUGUCAGUAUUACAGCCACUGAAACAGAAAAGUAAGUACAGGACGAGUCAAGCUAGCAAGCACCAUCAGUCCAUUUCAGCUGUGAACUCGCUUCCAGUUUUGGGGGGCUGGAAGAAAUGACAAGGCUGUUGGACAACUUCACAAGUAUUUCAGUAUAAAGCAGCUCUCAGUUACUCAUGUCAGUGUCUAACUACAGGAAUUAGGAAAUAUGGAUUUCAUUUUUUUUUUCAUUUCUCUGAAUUGAUGUCAGGCUAAGAGAAGCCCCCACCCACAGGAGAGGAGGGCUGGGGAGUGCUCCCUCUCCCUCACCCCUCUUAAAAAAUGAGGUACCACAAUACGACACAGCUCCCGAUGACAGUAAAUUAAACAAAAAACCCAAACAUCAUCUUACACCAUAAAACUGUGCAGCACUAUCCCAGCUGUUAGAGCCUGCCCAGAAACCUGCAAAACCUGCCCAGGGACAAACACACACCUGAAGAUGGGACAUAGAUCUGAAACCAAAUAGAUCUGAAACCAGCUCCACAACAAACUCGCUGCUCGUUGCUUCAGCUGCACAGCCACUGUCUUCAAACUGCUUUACUCCAUUUAACAAAUGUUGACAAAUGCCAAAAUGAAUAGUUUGUGCUGGUAGCAAAUCCACAGCUGUGAUCUCAACUAGAUUCUUCUACAGCUGAACACCAGGGCACUGUUAUUACCCAACAGGCUGUCACCUCCCAGUGCAAGAACCAACUGCAGUUUAUAUGAGGUACAUAGUUUAAAAUGCACACAGAUGACAUGAACAUGAGUGGUGCUGGAAAAUCCAGAGAGUUGUUUUUCCUCUGUGAGUUAUUGGCUUUGUUCCUUCAGAAGCAGCCUUUGAAGAGAUACACAAGGUGUUGCAGCUGUACCUGUAUUUCCCAGACCAUCACAAGAGGCAGUCCUCGCUGAAAUAACACACCCUUCCAUUACACAACUUAUAUUUACACAAUUUUCUUCUUAAAAACUAUUAAGAUGCACCAUGAAAAUGAUCAUCCCUUUCUCUCUUGUUACUGACAUGGAGGCAGUAGACCCUGUUAUCUCAGAACAAUCUAAAUUGCCAGAAAUAAAAUGAAAACUGUUUUCAGGGAAACAUGCAUUUAUUGUUAAGCAUUCCCAGUGAAAAUCAACAUCUUUUAAAAUGUGUGUUUAUUUUAAAAAUUAUUUGUGUACAAAAGUGUUUGUGUAGUUUUUAUUUUCAAGACAAAAAACACUGAUGCUGCAUUCCAGCCCCCCGCCCCCCUCCUCUUCUACAGGAAGUCUGAUGCUUAGGAAGCAACCUCCUGCAGUAUUUAUUGGUAAAUAUAUAUUUACUAGAAAAGUCAGAAUUUAGGAUGGAAAAGGUAAGAAAAGCAGGGUUCUUCAGCAGUUGACAUCAGCAUUCCUAUGAUAGCAGCCUCCUUCUGACACUGCACAGAGCACCAGCAGUUGCCGCAAAUUUGCAAACCAGACAAGUACAGCAUUUUCACAGUACAUUUCCUCGUCUGUCAAGUCAUGGACCUGAACUUACAUUAUCGAUGAAGGGCUCAGCACCAUGAGCGAUCCUGUAGUUAUUUCAAUGCCUACAAAGCAGGUAACAGCAGAGAAGGAACAUCACAGCACAGUACAGGGCAAAUGAUUCGCAAGAGUUUGUCCAGUGAGAAGAAAUCUGAAGUCAAGUUGCUGCCAGCAGAGCACUGCAGCUGGAAUAACCAAGCCAGAAGCCAAAUGCGUUGAUGGCAGUUGGUCUUGUGAGUCUGAUGAUGAGUCAGCUGAUGACACUAACACCACAAGUGGGAAGAGCAAGCUACAUCAUUCACAGAUAGGUUUGGAACAGAUCAGAAAACUAGCAAGAGAGAAGCACUUUGCCUAGCCCUAGGAGAAAGCUGUGCCUGGAAAACGAGGAUGGUACCUGUGAAAACGUCUAUAUGGUCUUCCCAGAAGAGGCCUUAGGCACCCAACAAGCAUCUUGACUUCCAUGCUUUAAUUCUGUGAUGCAACAGAUGAUGAUGAUGAAAUGCACUUUUGCUAUCUCUUGUUGAGCCAACUGCUCAUUAAAACCACACAAAACUAAGCACCUGAUGACAAGUCAGUGGCCACACUCAUCAACUCCAUCAACAAACCAGAGCAGGAGAGGACACCUCAUCUUCCUGUUGCCUCUGCUCAUCAGCAGACACUAAGUAAAACCAACUUUUUCUGCUAAAUUAUUUAACAUCUCCCCCUUUGGGCAAGCCUCCAAGUCCAAGCCAGCUUUUGUUGGUGUUUCGGAAGGAAACAGGACAUGCACAGUUAGAUUUCCCCUUGCACUAAAAAUGGAACACUUACUCAUCACAGUGCAUGACCAAUGCAGUAAACAAGAAGUCUUGCUUGAGCACGUGUUUUGAUUUCCCCCCACUCCCCUUCUCCCUUCCCCGAUGACAUAAGCAAUCCAUAUACUCUGAAGUGCCUAGUCUGAGUCACAGCUGUUAAGCUUAAAUUUGCAUAGUUUACAUGUUUCUGUUACCCACACCAUCUAAUGCAGAUUUGGUGUUACAAAGUAAGAUUCUUUCUGGCUCUUUAAUUCCUCCUUUUAGACAAAACAAAAAAAUCCUAUAUUCCUUAUGUCAGUGUUCCAGUACUAUUUUACAUGGAAAACAGCUGAAUACAGUGAUAAUUCAAAAGAACCCUAAGACACGUUUGUAAGCCAGUAGUACCUAAUUACUUGGGUGAAUACUACCAAACCAAUUAUAGUCAAGGCCCCAUGUACUCUGUGGUAAGCUUAAAAAAAAAAAAAAAGUUUGGAGUAUGCAGAAUAAAUAGCACUGACACAUCUUUCCAGAAGGGUAUGUAUCUAAGUUUUUUGUUUUCAAAAUGCAACAGUUUGUCAUGCUGAGAACACAGCUUGUUCACAGAAGCAACGGGAGGAAGCUGUGAAUUUGGCAAGGGGGUGGGAUACAGUCAGGGCUUUUGGUACUCAUGGGAAAACAGAGCUUUUGGCAACAGGAAAGAGCAUUUCUCUACCUCUGAACAGAGCUUUACUAUGCUCUUGGAGGAACUGGAUGAGAUAGGAUACACCAUUUUGCUGGAUGCAUGUUAAAAUGUUCAGCAGUGAAAUCCAAUGGAUUGCUCUGGCAAUCCAUAAGCGUCAUUGUUUAGAAAAAUGGGGCCAUUUAGACUUCAAAAUGACUGUUUCAAGCCAUCUUCUGGCACAAUAGAGGAAGACAACGGAGGGUUUAUCUGUACUGAGACAGCAACUGUACCUAUGUUUUGUGUUCUUGUUUUAAGGAAGUGGUAAAUGUGCAGCCCAAUUCCACAGCUGGAGAGGACAGCACGGCAACCCCACGUCCUGUGGACGCACAGGGCCCUGAAUAGUGAUGUUCAGUGAUACAGAAAACAGAACUACCAUUUGUAUGUACAAACUCACGAUGAUAAACUGAACACUAAAAGCAAAAUUCCUAGGGCUCAGCCCCAGCUGCAGUUAAACUAACCUUGUACAGCAUUAUCCCUAUAUUCAACUCUGAUAAUUACUGAGAAUACAAAAACAUUCCUUAUAAAGGAGUCACAUGUCAAAAUUCGGAGGGACUUCAGACCACAAGUGUCUCCUUAAUGCUGGAUCACGUUUCUUUCCCAGCUCACUUCUUGAGAAGCUUCCUGCCAGCACCUGAGCUAGCAUUAAGCUACCGAGCACAUGGAUGGAGGGCAAAACCCACAAUCCAACAUUUAUACAUAAGGGGGAAGGGAAAGACAAAAGUAUUUUGCAGUAGAGAAGAAAAUGAGGUAACUCCAUGAGAGAAGUAAAACUUAACAGGGCAUUCUUCCAGAGGUGACCAUGCUCACCUAAGAACCAUUUCCCCUUUUCUCCCUCUCCCCCUUUCCCCGGCUUCAUUUAUCCCUUUACAUACUGUUGGAAAAACCCGCUGUUCUUAGGAGACUAGUCUUAUCAAAAGACAAGUUCAGAAGCCCAUAACUGAGAAUUUUUAUGUCCCCGACAAUGAUUUCCAAGUUCUUUCUUUUGAUAAAUAGCAGCGAAGAACAAAGGAAAGUAGUAAGCGAUUCAUAUUUACCACCAGGGUAAAAAAAAAAGGUGUUGAUGUAAUCAAGAAGUUCUUAGCCUGUAUAACAGAAAGACAGCAACUUGAGAUUAACACAAGUGGCAUUUUGCCAGUUUCCUACUGUCCCUGGUUUCCACCUAGCAAACCAGCUGGACAGUAGCAGCUUUUUGUUUAAAAAAAAUAAAUAAAUACAAGGAAAGUCAAAACAACUCAUUUCCUUUGGCAUCAUUGCAAAUGAUUUACACUAACUCAAGAAAACUGGUCACUGACUACACCUUUAAAAGCAGUAAGUAUAAAGACUAAGCAAAUGCAUUUAGUAUUGCACUGAUAUGAGUUCAAAGUAUUUACUGUCUGUGCCCUAUUUUAAGUUUGGACACAUCAGACAGAGCAGUACAGGGAACAUCCCUGAACUAGCCAGGCCUCUACAGCUCUGUUUUCUGGUUCUGUUCCCCUACCACUAUGCUCCAGGUAUUUAACAGAUACCAUAAUGUUCCUGAUUUCCUCUAGUAUGAGUUAUAAACAGACUAUGAAGUGUGAAACUAUUUCAACUUGAACUUCAUAGCUCUAGAAAAAAACCCAAACGGGCAUAUAUUUCCCCACCCCAUUAGUCCACAGUUUAGGAGAAAAAAAAAACCAGCAAAACAAAACAGUCAUAGAAAAGAUGACUUAUACAGUACUCCAGUAUCCACAAUCCCUAUUCUCUAGUCUCAGGAUUUCUCUGAACUUCCUUGUCAGAUAUAUUCUCAAAAGUUAGCAUCAUAUUCACAAAGACAUUACAGCUCUCUUUAAAUAGAUGUACUAGUGUCUGAAGUUGCAAAACUAAUAAUUUUCAAGCUUUUGCACUCAGGAUGAAAUGUCAUUUUAAUACAAAUAAAAAGACUGACUGUAUGUACAAGCCAAGGUAAGAUUUCAGUUCUCGUUUAUCAGAAACAUCAAUCCAAAAGAAAGCUAAAUUGAGAACACACUUCUACUUCUAUGAGCAUUUGAAGUAUGUACAGUAAAAACACCACCACAGCCUCCAUGUGUUAACCAGAGAAAAAUGUGAGCAAGGAUGAAUUUUAAAGUACCUGGUAAGCAAUCCUUAAAUUGAAGCCCAAAAUAAAGCUAGAAAACUGCUGCAAAAAACAGCUGAUUGCAUCAUAUCAAGUACUCAAAAAAAUUUUUUUUCAUUCUCAGUAUGCUGGAGAAUCAGCUUUGUCCCCCUUCAAACACCAUGAAAUCAUAUUAUCCAGAAUGUACUGAAGAACACUUUACAGCUAUUUAAGACCAAAAAAAAGGAAAUGAAACCAGCUCCAUCUUUCUGUGCUGUAUCGAGGCAUACUCCUUACAUGAUUGUGUAGAAAACAUGAUGGAUGAAAAUCAUUACUGAUAAUUCAAAAUAUAUAUUUUUAAAGGGGAGCCUAGACUACUGUAAUGGCACACAUAAUACCUAUAGAUGAUGAAACAUAAUCAACAGUAUGAUGUAAGGGAGAGGAGAAUCAGGUUUCCCAAUUAAUAAGCUAGAAAGAAAAUGGUUCUGAAUAGCUCACCAUUUGGAACUUUGGGUAAGUCUUGAAAG